UACAACACCGGACUAAUUGACUCAGUUAAAUAAAAACUGAGAAGUUCAUGUCUAUUUAUGAUUAUUCGUUGAACACUUUUGUAUCUUGAAUAUUCUUAGCAAAUAAUUAGUAAAUAUUCAUAAAUCAUGUCGACGUGGAAAUUUAUUUUUAGGUCUGGAUUGAUUGUGUUAUUUGUGGUACGGUCGCGCGGCGAUCAACGUGCUAAGAGGUUAUUUUCAUUUCGAACCAUGAAGGUACUUAUUAUGCGAUUACGUGACUUCUCUUCAGUUGAAGGACGGCAUACGUAACCAUGCAAAUUUUUAGAAUAGAUACUCCACGAUUGCCCUUCAUUUUCACGAUCUUAAAUUUAAAUGCAACUGCAAGACUUUUCGUUUUUUUUUUACAUCUAUUAAUACUGUUCAUGUACGUUUCUAUCUUCUUUCCGCCUAGAUAUGAAAAAACGAUAAAGAAGUGUUUAGAAUGAUUGAAUUGCACAAGAGAGAAAUGGAAAACGUCGACAUUGUUAUGACUACUGGAUACGGGAUAAAGAUAGUUGAGAGGGCGGUAAACAAAGAAGAAAUUGAAAUUAUUAUCAUUGAGGAUAGAAGAUCUGCUAUCAAUAAUUCAAGUCGACGAACGAAUUGAAACUAGCUUAACAAAAUGUAUGGAACGAAAUGACUAAUUUUCGACAAAACGCUUCGAAAAUAUAUCGAAGCAGAAGAAGCUUCGAACAUUAAAUGUAAAUUUUAUUGUAAAAGUUUGUGAUUAAUACGUUUGUCACACUGAUAAUAUAUAUGGAAUAUUAAAUCAUA